rnacentral:rRNA from 2 species
UACGAAGGGGGCUAGCGUUACUCGGAAUUACUGGGCGUAAAGGGCGCGUAGGCGGCGCUCCAAGUUAGGCGUGAAAGUCCUGGGCUCAACCUGGGAACUGCGCUUAAGACUGGAGUGCUUGAGGAUGGAAGAGGGUCGUGGAAUUCCCAGUGUAGAGGUGAAAUUCGUAGAUAUUGGGAAGAACACCGGUGGCGAAGGCGGCGACCUGGUCCAUUACUGACGCUGAGGCGCGACAGCGUGGGGAGCAAACAGG